CCCUUAGAUGUUCUGGGCUGCACGCGUGCUACACUGAUAUUGCCAAUAUGUCAUUCUUAUCCGAAAUGGAUUGGGUAAUCAAGUAAUGAAAUUUCAUGCUUGGAAUCGGUAAUUGCAAUUUUAUCGUGAACGAGGAAUUCCUAGUAAGCACUAGUCAUCAGCUAAUGUUGAUUAUGUUCCUGCCCUUUGUACACACCGCCCGUCGCUACUACUGAUUGGGUGUUCAAGUGAGAUGCUUAGACCCUUGUUGCAUGGUUCAUUAUUGUGCUCCGAAAGGAAAAAGUUUCAAGCUUGAGUGUCUAGAGGAAGUAAAAGUCGUAACA
rnacentral:rRNA from 1 species